rnacentral:lncRNA from 1 species
CUUUCUGUAGGCCUGGCUUCCUUUCCGUGACUGUUAACUGAGCACUUUCUGUAGGCCUGGCUUCCUUUCCGUGACUGUUAACUGAGCACUUUCUGUAGGCCUGGCUUCCUUUCCGUGACUGUUAACUGAGCACUUUCUGUAUGUCUGGCUUCCUUUCCGUGAGUGUUAACUGAGCAUUUUCUGUAUGCCUGGCUUCCUUUCCGUGAGUGUUAACUGAGCACUUUCUGUAGGCCUGGCUUCCUUUCCGUGAGUGUUAACUGAGCACUUUCUGUAGGCCUGGCUUCC